rnacentral:rRNA from 1 species
GACGAACGCUGGCGGCGUGCUUAACACAUGCAAGUCGAACGGAACGGCCCUGAUUUUGUGGGGUGCUCGAGUGGCGAACGGGUGAGUAACACGUGAGUAACCUGCCCUUGACUUUGGGAUAACUUCAGGAAACUGGGGCUAAUACCGGAUAGGAGCUCCUGCUGCAUGGUGGGGGUUGGAAAGUUUCGGCGGUUGGGGAUGGACUCGCGGCUUAUCAGCUUGUUGGUGGGGUAGUGGCUUACCAAGGCUUUGACGGGUAGCCGGCCUGAGAGGGGGACCGGCCACAUUGGGACUGAGAUACGGCCCAGACUCCUACGGGAGGCAGCAGUGGGGAAUAUUGCACAAUGGGCGGAAGCCUGAUGCAGCAACGCCGCGUGCGGGAUGACGGCCUUCGGGUUGUAAACCGCUUUCGCCUGUGACGAAGCGUGAGUGACGGUAAUGGGUAAAGAAGCACCGGCUAACUACGUG